rfam:Nosema bombycis CQ1 unplaced genomic scaffold NBO_554, whole genome shotgun sequence.
GCUCCCGUAGCUCAGCGGUUGAGAGCGUGGUACUUAUAUGCCUUCAGGCUAUGCACAGUGGCUGAGAUAUGCCAAGGUCGCGGGUUCGAUCCCCGCCGGGAGCA